GACGAACGCUGGCGGCGUGCUUAACACAUGCAAGUCGAACGGAAAGGCCCUUCGGGGUACUCGAGUGGCGAACGGGUGAGUAACACGUGGGUGAUCUGCCCUGCACUUUGGGAUAAGCCUGGGAAACUGGGUCUAAUACCGAAUAUGAUCAUCGGCUUCAUGGUCGGUGGUGGAAAGCUUUUGCGGUGUGGGAUGGGCCCGCGGCCUAUCAGCUUGUUGGUGGGGUAAUGGCCUACCAAGGCGACGACGGGUAGCCGGCCUGAGAGGGUGACCGGCCACACUGGGACUGAGAUACGGCCCAGACGCCUACGGGAGGCAGCAGUGGGGAAUAUUGCACAAUGGGCGCAAGCCUGAUGCAGCGACGCCGCGUGAGGGAUGACGGCCUUCGGGUUGUAAACCUCUUUCAGCACAGACGAAGCGCAAGUGACGGUAUGUGCAGAAGAAGGACCGGCCAACUACGUG
rnacentral:rRNA from 1 species